CGGACGGGACCGCAGAGUCUGCCCCCGGUAUUCAGCUCGUCCCCUCCGUCGGCCGCGUCCGUCGCCAAACGACACCCUCUGAGCGGGUGCCAUGGCGGGCGCGAGCGCGGCGGGGGACGCGUGCACUUUCCGGGGCGCGGUGCGUCACGACCGGUUCGGCGGAGGUCAGAAGGCCGGCGGGAUGGUGGCCAGUCGUUCGCGUCUGGUGGUAUAGCCCGCCUGCGUCGCAGGCCCUCUGCCGGACCGAGGAGGAUCCGCGUCUGCCCUCAGGGCGCGGGGCCCGGGGCCUCCCGUGCCGCCUCCGUGCCGGGACUGCUCUCGCAGUGCCGUGCGCGGCCAGGCGGUCGGGACGGACUCCGCUCCCCCCGUAACGGCGUCUAGGGUCGGUGGCGAUGUUGUCGGCAACCCGUCCGACCCGUCU
rnacentral:rRNA from 1 species